UAAAAAUUAAUCCGUUCUCUUAGGGUGUUCUAAUCCGCCAAUUAAAUAAACCUUGCUCCUCGUAGUCAAUAGAAAUAAAUACUUCAACUUAUUCGCUUUAUAAUCUCAUAAUUAAUCGGGCUUAAUAAAUAAGAACAAGUAAUGUUAUAAAAUUUAAAAAAAAUAAAAUAAAAUAAAAAGGCUCAACAUAAGGCACAUAAGAAUCACAAUCAAACAUCAUCAAAACAUGCUCUGUUUUUACACUGACUCAACUUCAAAAUUUAAUCUGUUCUGACUCCGACAUCGCCUGGACUCGAGACUCAUACCGAAAGAAAGAUCUUCGAGUCUAGUUUCAUAUAAAAAAAGUAGAGUCGAAAACUCCAAGUGGUUUGA
rnacentral:lncRNA from 1 species